UUUCAGGAAGCAUAAAUAACGAUGUGCUGGGUUUAGGUCCUAGCGAUGGGGUAAAUGGCCCCCUUGGAAU
rnacentral:tRNA from 1 species